UCCCUCUUAGCUCAGUUGGUAGAGCGCGUCACUAGUAAAAUCCUGGUUAGGGUUAUGACGAGGUCAGUCGUUCGAGUCGGCUAGAGGGAA